UACGAGGGGGCAAGCGUUGUUCGGAAUUAUUGGGCGUAAAGGGUGCGUAGGCGGUCUGACAAGUCUGAUGUGAAAUCUAUGGGCUCAACCCAUAGUCUGCAUCGGAAACUGUCGGGCUUGAGUAUGGGAGAGGUGAGUGGAAUUUCCGGUGUAGCGGUGAAAUGCGUAGAUAUCGGAAGGAACACCUGUGGCGAAAGCGGCUCACUGGACCAUUACUGACGCUGA
rnacentral:rRNA from 1 species